AUAUCCAAAAGCACCGACGGGAAUUCCUGACAUAGUUUACAUACUUCACAAUAAGGACACAAUCUCAAUGUAGAAAGGCAAACUACCAAAGGCCAC
rnacentral:lncRNA from 12 species